rnacentral:rRNA from 1 species
AACGAACGCUGGCGGCAGGCCUAACACAUGCAAGUCGAGCGAACCCUUCGGGGUUAGCGGCGGACGGGUUAGUAACGCGUGGGAACAUACCCUUUGGUACGGAAUAGCCUCGGGAAACUGAGAGUAAUACCGUAUGUGCCCUUCGGGGGAAAGAUUUAUCGCCAAAGGAUUGGCCCGCGUUGGAUUAGGUAGUUGGUGGGGUAAUGGCCUACCAAGCCUACGAUCCAUAGCUGGUUUGAGAGGAUGAUCAGCAACACUGGGACUGAGACACGGCCCAGACUCCUACGGGAGGCAGCAGUGGGGAAUCUUAGACAAUGGGCGCAAGCCUGAUCUAGCCAUGCCGCGUGGACGAUGAAGGCCUUAGGGUUGUAAAGUCCUUUCAGCUGGGAAGAUAAUGACGGUACCAGCAGAAGAAG